UUUCUCCAAUUCUAUUUGUACCUGCCUCUGUGGACCCUCCAGAUGUCUCCCAACGACUUAUGGGUGUUCCCCUAAAUUCCCAGAAGAGCUCACAGUCCGUUGUCUCGGCCACCGUGCCGCCGCGUGGUUUCCUCUCAUUCCCCCAGCUGCCGAGGAUCACAGGCCCUCUGGUGCUGCCUGUGGGUGUGCGUGUAGGCUGCUGAUGAAUGUGUGGUUCAGAGGAUGCAGCCUCUGCCACGCCGAGGCCAGCUGGGGUCACUCAGCUGCACCCUGUGGCCGGAAACGUCCCCGGACGCUGCUGGUGUGCCGGAGCGCCAGCCCUGCCAAGGUUUCACUCCCUACCGGGAUUUCUCAAAUCUGUUCUGGCUUCAUCUCCCAUCGGGGAAAAAAGGUCUACCCUUGUUUUCUCGUCUUUCAGGUCUCCCAGAGUCGCGCUGACCUCUGAGCCAGGCAGGACUCUUGCGUUCCUGUUAAAGUCUCUGCCCCUGUACCCGCUCCAGGUACCCCCUCGGAGGCAAGAGAGGCAGGACCAGGAGGAAGAGGGGACCUCACCGGGCAAGGGGGACCGCACUUGCCGGCUGUUCCCCUUCUCACUCGCUACCCAGGGUAUUUUUAUCAGAAGAAACGGAGAGAUUCAGCUCCAUUGAAAAUUCAGUGAACACCGUCAAGUCCCAAAUGUACAACUAAUGGAAGCCCAAUAUCUUCCCCAGGUAUUUCUUAGAAUCCUAAGGGAAUGCUUGUGUUUCACAAAUCUAGCCUUAAGUAUCUUGCUCUGGAUUGUUUACUCAUUUCAGGGUUUCGCUGAGAGUAUGUGAAGAUUCUUGUCAUAACUGUCUGGCUAAAAAAAUGCUUAACAAAACAUUUCCUCUCAGAACAUAGGAAGCGUGUCUUCCAAGGAGGGGGGGAUAGGUUUUUCACUUUGGUUUAUAAAAGUUUCUUAAAAAUUACUAAAAAAAAAUUUCAGAUUUUCUAACUUUGUGUACAUUGACCAUAUAUGUGAAAAUGGGAACAAUUGGGUUCUACUCGUCUGCUUUUGUCCAGAACUUCUCUAACUAUAUAAAGUGAAUAUACACUGGUAUACCUAGGUGAUAUUUUAGGUAAUUGUGAUAGGGAAAAUGACUAUAUAUUUAUCCAUCCAGUGCUUUUGUUCAAAGAUGUAGAUGCAAUUUUUAGACACAGUAUAAACAUCUACCAGAGAGCUUUUCAAGCAUCAUAUUUCAAAAAUGUGAAGUUAUUCCUAUUCUUUUCCUAUAAAAUAUUAUAUUUUGGGAGGAAUACAAGUUAUCUAUAUAAUGGAUGGAAAUGAAGGUAAAGAAGAACUGUGACUUAAAAUGAAAGGUGCACAGACUCCUGGAGUUCAGGGAGAUCUUAGAGAUUAUCAAACUAUUUGGAUUUAAGCCUGCUUGAGAAUCUAAAGUCCUGGAUCUUCUUCCCAGAAAAAUACAUAUGCUCUUGUGUGUGCACACAUUCAUACCACCACCACCAGAAUUUCAGAGUUCUUUGAUCCCAUCCAGACCAAUAAUAUUUUCCAAUGUAAGGGAGAAAUCUGGAUCUAGUCUGUCCAUUUUCUUUUCUUUUCUUCAAAAAGUUACUGAGGCAAGGUGAUAUACUCAAGUAUUAAUAGGUCUAGGAUUACAAGUAAUAACU
rnacentral:lncRNA from 1 species